GGAAAGGUAUACCGCCCCAGGCUGGUAAACAGAGCAGGGAAAAGCCCUCGCUCUUGGUAGUGGGAGGAUCUCGUAUCAGAAUUCUGAUGUG
rnacentral:SRP_RNA from 2 species